UAUCGAACGAAAUUUUAACCAAGGCCGUGCCUAGCCAUGAAAAAUCUUUGCCCAAAAGAUCUUAGCAAAAAAGAUCAAGAUUUUGCCAUCAAUUUUGCAUGAAAGCUCAAGAACACAAGAGAGGGAGAGUUUUGGGGAAAACCAAAUCGAGCCAAAUCCAAGGGAGAUUUGAGGGGAGGGGGACACUUCAAAGUUGCUCACAAGUGUCCUAGCAAUAAAAGUCCCCAAAAGAUUUGAAAGGAUUUGCGCUCAAACAGGAAGAACAAAAAUUUCCCCAAAAAUGCUCCAAAAAUCCAGAAAAAGAAAAAUUUGAGGCAUUAGCCUUCAAUCACCCAUGAAUUAUUUGAUUUCAAAAAUAUUUGACAAGAUUCAUGGCUAGGUACCGCCCAUCAUCCUCCCACUAUAGAUUAGGAGCACUAAACCUAGAGUAAUCACUUGUUAAGCCUAAUCCUCACUCAUUUUAGCAAACCCUAGCCUUUAGAUGAAAACUAAGAAAUAGAAUGGGGAAGAAGAGAUAGCUGAACACUUCAGCC
rnacentral:lncRNA from 1 species